UAAUCCCGCUUCAUCAAAAUCCCUCUCCACCGCACCAUCAGAUGAACCAGCCCCAAAAUUUCAUAGCAGUUCAACCCAAGGGAACUUUCUAUGGAUAAAUUUGCAAUCAGUUGAACUUUAAUUUGCACUCUUUUGUUCAACACUAUUGCAAUUUGAAGUUAUGCCACUUUGAAGAUAACUUGGUUAUUAUCUGUAGUUGAUGAUAACAUGUUUGGUAGGAAGCGUCUGCUAAAAUGUUCUAGAGAUAAAAAGUAGACAGAAACACCAUAACUCUUGACUCGAAAACCGGGUACGCUUUCACAAUUCUUUAUUCUCUGCUUCUGUUUAAUAUAAUUACUUAUUAUGAGCCAAAAAUGUGUAUGCUUGAAGCCUUGAACAUAUCAUCUUGUUUAAAUCUUGUGAUAAAAAAAGGAUGGCAGUAAAGAUUUUGGUACUGAAGACCAAGAUAAAACCAUUGUUGUGAAAACACAUUCAGUGUUUGGUAGACUUGUUGAAAAGAAAAUGUAUUUUCUUUUUGGUUAAAAUCACUAAUCAGUUUAAAAGCUAAAACUUUCUUCUUGUGGUCGAUGAAUGUUACUAUUUAGUUACAUGGGAUAAAUAGCUU
rnacentral:lncRNA from 1 species